GAUGAACGCUGGCGGCGUGCUUAACACAUGCAAGUCGAACGAUGAAGCCCAGCUUGCUGGGUGGACUAGUGGCGAACGGGUGAGUAACACGUGAGUAACCUGCCCUUAACUCUGGGAUAAGCCUGGGAAACUGGGUCUAAUACCGGAUAGGAGCGCCUACCGCAUGGUGGGUGUUGGAAAGAUUUAUCGGUUUUGGAUGGACUCGCGGCCUAUCAGCUUGUUGGUGAGGUAAUGGCUCACCAAGGCGACGACGGGUAGCCGGCCUGAGAGGGUGACCGGCCACACUGGGACUGAGACACGGCCCAGACUCCUACGGGAGGCAGCAGUGGGGAAUAUUGCACAAUGGGCGAAAGCCUGAUGCAGCGACGCCGCGUGAGGGAUGACGGCCUUCGGGUUGUAAACCUCUUUCAGUAGGGAAGAAGCGAAAGUGACGGUACCUGCAGAAGAAGCACCGGCUAACUACGUG
rnacentral:rRNA from 1 species